rnacentral:rRNA from 1 species
GAGCGAACGUUAGCGGCGGGCCUAACACAUGCAAGUCGAACGCGAAAGCCCUUCGGGGUUAGUAGAGUGGCGUCCGGGUGAGUAACACGUAGGCAAUCUCCCCUCGAGCGGGGGACAACAGUCCGAAAGGAUUGCUAAUACCGCAUAAGACCACGUCCACCACGGUGGAUGGGGUAAAAGGUGGCCUCUAUUUAUAAGCUACCGCUUGAGGACGAGCCUGCGGACCAUCAGCUAGUUGGUGGGGUAAUGGCCUACCAAGGCAAAGACGGUUAGCUGGUCUGAGAGGAUGAUCAGCCACACUGGCACUGAAACACGGGCCAGACUCCUACGGGAGGCAGCAGUGGGGAAUAUUGGACAAUGGGCGCAAGCCUGAUCCAGCCACGCCGCGUGAGUGAUGAAGGCCUUCGGGUUGUAAAGCUCUGUGGGGAGGGACGAAAAAAACGGGUAAGAAACGAUCCGUUCUUGACGGUACCUCCUUAGCAAGCACCGGCUAACUCUGUGCCAGCAGCCGCGGUAAGACAGAGGGUGCGAACGUUGCUCGGAAUUACUGGGCGUAAAGCGCGUGUAGGCGGGUGAUCAAGUCGGGUGUGAAAUCCCUGGGCUUAACCCAGGAAUUGCACUCGAAACUGGUUGCCUAGAGUGUUGGAGAGGGAAGCGGAAUUCCUGGUGUAGAGGUGAAAUUCGUAGAUAUCAGGAGGAACACCGGUGGCGAAGGCGGCUUCCUGGACAAUUACUGACGCUGAGACGCGAAAGCGUGGGGAGCAAACAGGAUUAGAUACCCUGGUAGUCCACGCCGUAAACGAUGAGUGCUAGGUGUCUCGGGCAUUGACCCCUGAGGUGCCGUAGCUAACGCGUUAAGCACUCCGCCUGGGAACUACGGCCGCAAGGCUGAAAC